CUAAAAUUACUGUGAAUAGACCAGAGAUAAAAUCGGUGUCAACAGAUUGAAGAAAUUACAUCUUGAGUGAUCACGAUGACUAGGCAGCUUCUUUUGUGUUUGUUUACACUCGUGAUUCAGCACCACCUACAGAAAACACGAGCUUGUGGUGGUGUGUACACCUCACCCAGUGGCUCCAUCUGUCCCCCGCUGUACCCC